rnacentral:lncRNA from 1 species
CGCCACCCAUAGAAAGGAGGAAAAAGAUCAUUUUAUUAAUGUUAGAAAAUGUAGACGCUAACGGGAAUGAAGGGAAUAAAAAAAAUUUCUUUUCUUGGAGAUUGAAACGAUGAUGAUUCAUGUUUUUAUUUGAAAAAGUUUUUUUUUUUUUUGGGAUUUUCUUUCUUUGGAAGAAGCAGCACACGGUGCAUCCUUUUUCAAAUUCUUUAGUGGAGAGCAAGGUGAUUUCCAAUGCAUUGAAGGUAGCCACUGUCACG